rnacentral:rRNA from 1 species
CAUCCCGAACACGACCGUUAAGCCCUCCAGCGCCGAUGGUACUUGGACCGCAGGGUCCUGGGAGAGUAGGACGUCGCCAAGC